ACGGGGUGCAGCAGGCGCGAAAACUUUGCAAUGUGCGCAAGCACGACAAGGUUAAUCCGAGUGGUUUCUGCUAAAGGAACCUUUUGUUAGUCAUAGAACCACUAAUGAAUAAGGGGUGGGCAAGUUCUGGUGUCAGCCGCCGCGGUAAAACCAGCACCUCAAGUGGUCAGGAUGAUUAUUGGGCCUAAAGCAUCCGUAGCCUGCUUUGCCAGUUUUCGGUUAAAUCCAUACGCUCAACGUAUGGGCUGCCGGGAAUACUACAAAGCUAGGGAGUGGGAGAGGUAGACGGUACUCGGUAGGAAGGGGUAAAAUCCUUUGAUCUAUUGAUGACCACCUGUGGCGAAGGCGGUCUACCAGAACACGUCCGACGGUGAGGGAUGAAAGCUGGGGGAGCAAACCGGAUUAGAUACCCGGGUAGUCCCAGCUGUAAACUAUGCAAACUAGGUGAUGCAUUGGCUUGAUGCCAAUGCAGUGCCUCAGGGAAGCCGUUAAGUUUGCCGCCUGGGAAGUACGUACGCAAGUAUGAAACUUAAAGGAAUUGGCGGGG
rnacentral:rRNA from 1 species